rnacentral:rRNA from 1 species
UUUAGUAUGGCGACCGGCGCACGGGUGAGUAACACGUAUCCAACCUGCCGAUGACUCGGGGAUAGCCUUUCGAAAGAAAGAUUAAUACCCGAUGGCAUAGUUCUUCCGCAUGGUAGAACUAUUAAAGAAUUUCGGUCAUCGAUGGGGAUGCGUUCCAUUAGGUUGUUGGCGGGGUAACGGCCCACCUAGUCAACGAUGGAUAGGGGUUCUGAGAGGAAGGUCCCCCACAUUGGAACUGAGACACGGUCCAA